rnacentral:rRNA from 1 species
GACGAACGCUGGCGGCGUGCUUAACACAUGCAAGUCGAACGGAGUGGCGAAAGGGUGAGUAACACGUGGGUGACAUGCCCUGCACUUCGGGAUAAGACUGGGAAACUGGGUCUCAUACCGGAUAGUGGGGGAUGGGCCCGCGGCAUAUCAGCUUGUUGGUGGGGUAAUGGCCUACCAAGGAGGCGACGGGUAGCCGGCCUGAGAGGGGGGACGGCAAAAUUGGGCCUUGGAAGCGGCCCCGACUCCUACGGGAGGCAGCAGUGGGGAAUUGUGCACAAUGGGCGGAAGCCGUAUGCAGCGACGCCGCGUGGGAGAUCACGGCCUUCGGUUUGUACACUCCUUUCACCAUCGACGCGGUAGAUGGAGAAGAAGCACCGGCUAACUACGUGCCAGCCGCCGCGGUAAUUC